rnacentral:rRNA from 1 species
GGGAAUAUUGCGCAAUGGGCGAAAGCCUGACGCAGCGACACCGCGUGUGGGAAGACGCUUUUCGGAGUGUAAACCACUGUGGCAGGGGAAGAAGUUCUGACUGUACCCUGCUAGAAAGCACCCUGCUAACUACGUGCCAGAAGCCUCGGUAAUACGUAGGGUGCAAGCGUUAUCCGGAUUUACUGGGCGUAAAGGGUCCGUCGGCGUCUUUGUAAGUCUUCUGUUUAAGCCUGGGGCUCAACUCCAGAAAGGCAGAGGAAACUACUUAGAUUGAGUAUGUCAGAGGAGUUUGGAAUUCUCGGUGGAGGGGUGAAAUCCGUAGAUAUCGAGAGGAACGCCAAUCGCGAAAGCAGAACUCUGGGACAUUACUGACGCUCAUGGACGAAAGCUAGGGUAGCAAAAGGGAUUAGAGACCCCUGUAGUCCUAGCCGUAAACGUUCCUUGCUAGAUGCUUGAUCUCUGAUUGGGUGUCGUAAGCUAACGCGUUAAGCAAGGCGCCUGGGGAGUACGACCGCAAGGUUAAAACUCAAAGGAAUUGACGGGGGAGCGCACAACCGGUGGAGCAUGUGGUUUAAUUCGAUACAAAGCGAAAGACCUUACCCAGACUUGACAUGUGCCUGCACGUCCCAAGAAAUUGGGAUUUCUUCGAGAGUGGCACACAGGUGAUGCAUGGCUGUCGUCAGCUCGUGUCGUGAGACGUCCUCUUAAGUGAGGUAACGAGCGCAACCCUUGCCGUCAGUUACAAGUGUCUGACGGGACUGCCUUCGCUUAUCGAGGGAGGAAGGAGAGGACGACGUCAAGUCAGCAUGUCCCUUACGUCUGGGGCUACACACAUCCUACAAUGGAGCCGACAACGGGUAGCGAUGGAGCAAUCCUGAGCUAAUCCUUUAAACGGCCCCUCAGUUCGGAUUGAGGGCUGCAAUUCGCCCUCAUGAAGCCGGAAUCGGUAGUAAUCGCAAAUCAGCAGGUUGCGGUGAAUACGUUCUCGCUCCUUGUACACACUGCCCGUCAAGCCAGCAAAGUUAGUAGCGCCCGAAGCGGGUGACCGUAACCUUUUGGACGGCCCUU